GGGCUCUGCUCACCGAGGCCAUCCCUGCAGCUCCCUGCUACCAAACCCUUGCCAUGUAAACCCAAUACAAAGUCAGUGCUGUUUUGCUGAGCGCUUCUGAUGAGCAAUGUGAGUUCACAGUGCACACCGGUGCAAUGCUGGCUGACAUCACCUGGAGAUUGACGCUUUGUGUUUAGAAGUGUGACUGUAAUUGGAGCUAAAUUGUACCUUGCUAUCGUUACUCAAGUUGCAUAUAUUGAUAAUGGGAAAAAGGAGCUUUCUUGGCACAGUGUGUCCAUGGACACUGCUUAAAGAAAGAGAAAUUGAUUUUGUAGACCAGAGUCACUGAUUACCAUUUUUCACAUUGUGUACUAUGUAACCCCAGGAACAGAACUGAAUCCAAGCUCACUGCAGUGAAAAGAAAUCGCAGUUAAGAGAAUGUAGUAAUAAUAGUAAUAACAAAUAUUAGAUUACGUAUUUUCUAGGUGUAAAGUUUCAGCAGUGGAAAAAAGGGCAAUAACAUGUAUAAUACUGCAUAAAAGAGAAUGCUAUCAGAAAAGAAAAAACUUAUUUUUAAAUGUGCCUCCAAAUAGCCUUUCUAUAUUAGCACAUCCUUUCAACUUGGGUCAUGGCUGAAUUAAGCUUCCUACACAGCCAGGUUGUCCUGUGGAUAUAAAUACAUGCUCUAAGUCACAUAAAAGCAAGCCAAUCCUAUUUGCAUUGUCACUCCACGAUACAAAAUGCUAUAAUGACCUCUUUUUUUGAUGUCAAGUGCUAUCUAUAAGACAGGCUUAGGCCCUUUUGUUCUGAAGGAGGUCAGCUAUUGCUUUGCUUUCUUAAUGAGCUUCAGACAUUCCCAAAGAGCCUUCUGAUAUCUCAGACAUACCUAGCCCCAGGCAAGACACUUGUGGCCUCUGCCAACACCUAAGCUUUGCAGACAGAUCACAUGUGACAGGUUAUGCAACUGAACUGGCCUUUAUAUACUAGCAGGACGUUAGCAUGUAAGGGGCUUACGAGCAGAAGAGAACCAGGUACAGAAGUUCCACGAAUACUUAGAAAUAAUGGUUAUUCCUCUACGGAGAAUGACACCUGGGUAUAUAAGGUUGUUGCAGACUCAAGCUGCAGGAAAAAUAGUUGUCAACUCAUCGGACAUAUUGCUGCAACGGACUGCCUUGCUCCUGGGCAUGUUUGGGAUCAGUCUUUCCAGCUACAGCACACACCAGUUGGCUCAACAGAAGAGACUUCCCAUGACCCUUUAAGCUGUGUUGGGACGUGGCCCAAGAAAUAAAUGCUUAUGUCAGUAGUGCUGAUGAGUAGCUUUUCUGUCUCCAUUACCAGUGUGGAAGUAAAGAGACACUUUGCAGCCUCGAUUUCUACAUGCAAAGCUGAAAGGAUGGAAGAAUACAGAUUUCUCCAAGAAAGAAAAAAGAACAAUGGACUAAUGGAGGCAUCAGAUUUCCGAGCAUUGUCUGUAAAUACAAUGGAUUUCCUUUGUUAUCCAGUGCAUACAUAAAGGGACAUCUGAAAGUAUAAGAUAGAGUUAAACUCAGAGUAGUUGUAAGCAGAUUGAUGAGGAUGCCAUGCUUAGCAUCGCCUUGCUACAGCUUUUGCACAUUGACUCCUAUACAAAGACUGGUUUUGAAAAGGAAACAUGACAAGAGUUAAACCAGAUAAAAGUAAUCUCUCAUAGACUACUUUUACUGUUAUAUCUAACUGAGAUACACAUUUACGUGGAUUACUGAAUUUGUGCACUGUAACCUUUACUAUUGAAUCUUAGACAUCUUUUUGAUACCUCUUGUGUAGAAAUGUUUGUGCAUUGAAACGCGUGCUGAUAUCCUUCAGCAGAGAUGGCUGGAGGCUACACCAUCAGUACAUUACUGGAAAGGAACCGUGACACCAGACCAGAUAACUUUGUAAUCCUGUACAGAAAGUCUAGAAAGGAUCAGUAAAAAUUUUGGGUUGGGUUUUGUUGUAGAGUUCAACAACUGUUCAUUAUUCCUCUGCAGAAACUCGUCAUUCCAAAAUAUGCAGUCUGAUUUAAAUAAAAUAGAGACUGACCUUUUUUCCCUUCUUUUC
rnacentral:lncRNA from 1 species